AACGAACGCUGGCGGCAGGCCUAACACAUGCAAGUCGAACGCCGUAGCAAUACGGAGUGGCAGACGGGUGAGUAACACGUGGGAACCUUCCCGAUGGUACGGAAUAGCUCAGGGAAACUUGGGGUAAUACCGUAUACGCCCGCAAGGGGAAAGAUUUAUCGCCAUUGGAUGGGCCCGCGUCGGAUUAGCUAGUUGGUGAGGUAAGGGCUCACCAAGGCGACGAUCCGUAGCUGGUCUGAGAGGACGAUCAGCCACAUUGGGACUGAGACACGGCCCAAACUCCUACGGGAGGCAGCAGUGGGGAAUAUUGGACAAUGGGCGCAAGCCUGAUCCAGCCAUGCCGCGUGAGUGAUGAAGGCCUUAGGGUUGUAAUGCUCUUUUAGCGGGGAAGAUAAUGACGGUACCCGCAGAAUAAGCCCCGGCUAACUUCGUGCCAGCCGCCGCUGUAAGAC
rnacentral:rRNA from 1 species